AUGGAGAGAAGAGAAGGGAGAAUAGGGACUGCGCGGCUACCUGCUGCUGGUCCGACCGCGGCUCCGGUCAUCGGAUCAGCCGCUCCCUGUCUCCCUGUGUCGUCCCAAGAUGGUCCGGCUGGGCGCUGUCCUGACGGCCGAGCGUGUGCUAUCCACGGAACACAGCUCCUCCACCCAGGCCCUCCUCCGCAACGCCGGCGAGGACACUACUUCGUCCGAACCGAUUAUCACAACCACGCACAGGUCUUGGACAUGAUGGCCGGACGCGAUGAGGAGGACAUACUGGAUCCCCAUGGAUGCCAAGGAUUCGAGGACAUUGGCAGAUGUAGAGGAGGCAAUGAUGACGGAGAUGAUUGCGGCACACAAUUUAAAUAA
rnacentral:rRNA from 1 species